rnacentral:rRNA from 1 species
AUUCACCUACGGGGCGCAGCAGUGGGGAAUAUCGCACAAUGGGGGGAACCCUGAUGCAGCGACGCCGCGUGGGUGAAGGAGCACCUCGGUGCGUAAAGCCCUAUCGGCAGGGAAGAAAAGCGAACAGGUUCGCCUGGACGGUACCUGACUAAGAAGCCCCGGCUAACUACGUGCCAGCAGCCGCGGUAAUACGUAGGGGGUAAGCGUUAUCCGGAUUCACUGGGUGUAAAGGGAGCGUAGACGGCGGCGCAAGUCUGGAGUGAAAGCCCGGGGCCCAACCCCGGGACUGCUCUGGAAACUGCGGC